AGUGAACGCUGGCGGUAGGCCUAACACAUGCGAGUCGAACGGCAGCACAGUAAGAGCUUGCUCUUACGGGUGGCGAGUGGCGGACGGGUGAGGAAUACAUCGGAAUCUACUUUUUCGUGGGGGAUAACGUAGGGAAACUUACGCUAAUACCGCAUACGACCUACGGGUGAAAGCAGGGGAUCUUCGGACCUUGCGCGAUUGAAUGAGCCGAUGUCGGAUUAGCUAGUUGGCGGGGUAAAGGCCCACCAAGGCGACGAUCCGUAGCUGGUCUGAGAGGAUGAUCAGCCACACUGGAACUGAGACACGGUCCAGACUCCUACGGGAGGCAGCAGUGGGGAAUAUUGGACAAUGGGUGCAAGCCUGAUCCAGCCAUACCGCGUGGGUGAAGAAGGCCUUCGGGUUGUAAAGCCCUUUUGUUGGGAAAGAAAAGCAGCAGGUUAAUACCCCGCUGUUCUGACGGUACCCAAAGAAUCAGCACCGGCUAACUUCGUG
rnacentral:rRNA from 1 species